UACAGAGGUCUCGAGCGUUGUUCGGAUUCAUUGGGCGUAAAGGGUGCGUAGGUGGCUUGGUAAGUCGGAUGUGAAAUCCCGGGGCUCAACCCCGGAACUGCAUUCGAUACUGCUGAGCUUGAGACCUGGAGAGGAGAUCGGAAUUUACGGUGUAGCAGUGAAAUGCGUAGAUAUCGUGAAGGAAGACCAGUGGCGAAAGGCGGAUCU
rnacentral:rRNA from 1 species